AUUGUAGAGAUGGAUUCUUUUUUGCUGUGAAAGAGGUUUCACUGCUUGAUCAAGAUAAUCAGGGAAAGCAAAGUAUCUAUCAACUGGAGCAGGAGAUAGCACUUUUGAGUCAGUUUGAACAUGAGAACAUAGUUCAAUACUAUGGCACAGAAA